rnacentral:rRNA from 1 species
GACGAACGCUGGCGGCGUGCUUAACACAUGCAAGUCGAACGGAAAGGCCCUGCUUUUGUGGGGUGCUCGAGUGGCGAGCGGGUGAGUAACACGUGAGUAACCUGCCCUUGACUUUGGGAUAACUUCAGGAAACUGGGGCUAAUACCGGAUAGGAGCUCCUGCUGCAUGGUGGGGGUUGGAAAGUUUCGGCGGUUGGGGAUGGACUCGCGGCUUAUCAGCUUGUUGGUGGGGUAGUGGCUUACCAAGGCUUUGACGGGUAGCCGGCCUGAGAGGGUGACCGGCCACAUUGGGACUGAGAUACGGACCAGACUCCUACGGGAGGCAGCAGUGGGGAAUAUUGCACAAUGGGCGGAAGCCUGAUGCAGCAACGCCGCGUGCGGGAUGACGGCCUUCGGGUUGUAAACCGCUUUCGCCUGUGACGAAGCGUGAGUGACGGUAAUGGGUAAAGAAGCACCGGCUAACUACGUG